rnacentral:rRNA from 1 species
GUCUACAGCCAUGCCACUCUGAAUGUGCCUGAUCUCGUCUGAUCUCGGAAGCUAAGCAGGGUCUAGCCUGGUUAGUACUUGGAUGAGAGACUACCUAGGAAUACCAGGUGCUGUAGGUG